AACGCACCUUGCACCUUUUGGUAUUCCGAAAGGUAUGCCUGUUUGAGUGUCUUGAAUUAUCACUUUAAAGAGUUUUUCUCUUUAAACGUGGAUGUGGGUUUGCAAUCUGCUCACCUAGAAUGCCUUAGUGGUUCAAACUGGAUCCUGAUGUAAUAAGUUUCAUUAGGUGAAAGGAAGACUGCUUCUAAUUGCCUUUGGGCUCUCUUUUAAGACUAGACCUCAAAUCAGGUAGGACUACCCGCUGAACUUAA
rnacentral:misc_RNA from 1 species